rnacentral:rRNA from 1 species
UGGGGAAUAUUGGACAAUGGGCGCAAGCCUGAUCCAGCCAUGCCGCGUGUGUGAAGAAGGCCUUCGGGUUGUAAAGCACUUUUGUCCGGAAAGAAAUCCUGUCGGCUAAUACCCGGCGGGGAUGACGGUACCGGAAGAAUAAGCACCGGCUAACUUCGUGCCAGCAGCCGCGGUAAUACGAAGGGUGCAAGCGUUACUCGGAAUUACUGGGCGUAAAGCGUGCGUAGGUGGUUUGUUAAGUCUGAUGUGAAAGCCCUGGGCUCAACCUGGGAACUGCAUUGGAUACUGGCUUACUAGAGUGCGGUAGAGGGUGGCGGAAUUCCCGGUGUAGCAGUGAAAAUGCGUAGAUAUCGGGAGGAACAUCCGUGGCGAAGGCGGCCACCUGGACCAGCACUGACACUGAGGCACGAAAGCGUGGGGAGCAAACAGGAUUAGAUAUCCUGGUAGUCCACGCCCUAAACGAUGCGAACUGGAUGUUGGGAGCAACUAGGCUCUCAGUAUCGAAGCUAACGCGUUAAGUUCGCCGCCUGGGAAGUACGGUCGCAAGACUGAAACUCAAAUGAAUUGACGGGGUCAUAGCUGUUUCCU